UCUUCUUCUUCUUCCCUUUCUUCAUCUCUCUGGAGUCUGCCUCAUCUCAAUUCUCUUUCUCACGUUGGAGCUGCUUGAAUAAAGAACUUGGAGUUGCAGAAAUUUAACACGCUAGGUUUCAACUUGUAUAGCUAGCUAGGCUUCAUAAUACACAGAGGCUAACUAGAGAGCAAAGAGAACUAAUUAAGCUGGAAUGACGGUGGAAGAGUCAGCUCAGCUGGCCGACCAGAAUAAAAGGAGUAGUGGUCCGAGGUUUAACCGCAGAUCAUGGAUCACCUUAUCAGAAAGCUGCUGCUUUAGUUGAUCUUGGUGAAGAUGGCGUUGGUCUACCGAAGGAAAUUCUUGAGGGAUCGAGCUUUGAGAAGGCAGCACCAUUGUACUUCAUGUUUACUGAUUUUCACUUAGUGAUUGGGACAUUUAAUUCCCUUGCACUAGUCAUUCUAAACUUCCUUGAGGUUUGUAAAGCUCUCUUACUGCCCUAUCCCUGCUUCAAAUUUUCUUUUUUUCCUGGUGUGUUGACUUCCCACUUGUUCUUAGAACUGACAGUCUUAGUUUCAUUGUUUUCCUGUUUCUCUUUGCUCAGAGACCACUGUGGUGUUUUAAGCAUUUAGCUGAGUCUUGUAUUAACAGAGACUACUAUUAUCUAGGAGACUUCCAUACUCGACUCGUACCGAGUCUCUUAUAUAUGAGUUAAGGUUUGUAAGCUGGUUUAUUUGUUAUACUUGGAGUCUUUGAUAUCUAAAGCUAGAAGCUAAUCUUUUAAACAGAACGAAUGGAUGGUUCUGAAUAUUUCCUAAUCUAUGGAAAAUUUUAUUGA